UAUAAUAUUAAUAAAAUUUUACCAUUUAUAGAAACGGUGCAAGUUAUCCGGGACUACUUUAUAAGAAAAGCGGUGCAAGUAUUCCGGGACGGAGGGAGUAUUAAUAAGAAACAAAGUAUCUACAACAUACCAUUGAUGGUCAUUUUACAUAUUAAACAUUUAAUCGCAAAAAACUAAUUUACCAAACACUUUUACACAAACAACUAAUUCAACCAGCUAAUAUAACAACUAAUUCAACCAACUAAUACAAACCGCUAAGAGAUAGUUAAACCAGGUAACAGCUAACUGCUCCUAAAGAAAACAGGGCCUUUAGCUUCGUGGGGACUCAUUUUCAGCUCCACGACAGAACUCAAAGAAACAACCAGUUAAUUGCGAGGAAGUAAAUCCCCCAUGCUGUUAUGUGCUCCAAAAUAUAUAUCACCUUAAAAAAAAAAGAUAAACUAAAAGUAAUUCAAUUUUGGCGGGAAAAACAAGGCGGGUGUGAAAAUAAUUGUAACGGGGUGUUGACAUGGCCAAAAAUGAAUUGCUGACUGGGCUCUUCUUGUCUGAAAAUUGGGGAUCCUCUUCAUCUCCUUUGUUUUCUCUCUCUUCUCUUCUGCUCCUCUUCUCUUCUCUUCUCUCAACCCCAUUAAUUCUACUAAACAAACACAAAUUUCUGUGAAAUGCUAAAGUGGAUUUAGCUGCUUAAAGGGAUUUAUUUCCACAAAAUGAAUUGAAAAACCCGAAAACUUGAAAAACCCCGACAUGAAUUCGACUGGAAUGGAAUCAACUGCAAUGGGUUCUACUGAAAUUGGUGAAGGUAGUGGGGUACCUGAUGGCGAUGAAGAGGAAUUUAUGUUUUGGUAUUCACCAGCAUCGUCCUACGAAGAGGAGUUUAGUGUUUUUAUGAAUUUCGGUUUUAUCAAUUUUGUAAAUCGAUUUAUAGUAUUACUGAUUUAGGGUUUGCAUUGAUUGAAGCGUUUAUUUGAUUUAAUUACUUGAUUUUAGGGGUUUUGCGUGUGUCAUUGAAUUUAGUGUUUCAUUGAUUUUAUUACUUGAUUUUAGGGGUUUAUUGUAUUGUCAUGUUCUUGUUAAUUGUAUUAGUGUAAAAAUAAUUGGCUGAUUAAAUUUGGGGAAAUAAACUGAUUGAUUGUCUUAUUUUGUAAUAUGAAUGUUUGGUAAAAGGUUGGUAAAAUAUCUGUUCGAUUCAUGGUAACAUAUUUGAUUGAUUGAUUCUUGGUAAAAUGAACCUUGUUGAAAUGUGUGAUUGAUACUUGUAAAAUGAUUGUAAGUAUGUUGUUCCUCUGUUCUAUGAUAAAAAAAAACAACAACAAAGGAAGAAUGUUGUUCUUUGAUAAAAUGAUUGUUUGAUAAAAUGUGGCAAAAAAUUGAUUGCUAAUUGUCUUACUUGAUUGGAUGAAUGUAUAGUUUAGGUUUAGUACAUUGUGUAAGAAUGGGUUUUUGCUAGGGUGAAUGUAAGAAUGAAUUUGAAAUUUUGCGUGGUGAAUGUUAUUAUUGAAGGAGGAGGUAGGCGAUAAUUUUAGUACCCCUAAAAGGAGAAUUGUAAGAACUGCAUUUGGGGAAGAGAAUGAAGUUCCCCAACUGAAGGUUGGCAUGUUUUUCCUGAUUGGGAGGAGAUUGAAGAUCAAUUUAAGGCGUACAGGAGGCAAAAGGGCUUUGCUGUAGUAAGACGAAGUGGUGCUUAUAGGUCUUAUAGUAGCCAGUCAAAGGAUGGUGCUAGUAAAGAGAAAGUGAAACAAAAGCGUAAUGCGUUGUGGACUUGUGAGUGCUUUGGUCAGCCAGAAAGGAAGCGCAAGGAGAAGGCGAUUGUUCCCUUCGAUUCCCCGCUCCAUGAAAUAGUUGGGAGUGGCAUACGGAAGUCUAAGAAAUGUCAAUGUCCCGUCCAUGUGUUUGCUAGUGUAAAUAAUUUAGGUCAGUGGGUGAUACGCAGAGCUGAAAUGGUACAUGAGAAUCCUCACCCAACCCCUUCCAAGUCUAGAACUAUUGCUUGUUUUCGUAAAGGGUUUAUAAAAGAGAAUCCUCAUGUAGUGACACAAAUGAAGGUGUGUUCGAAAUCUGGGAUGUCAGUUGCCCAAACAUAUAACUUAAUGGCUACGCAACGGAAUGGCAAAGCUUUAAUGCCUUUCUCACAGAAGGAUGUUAAUGAUGUGGUUGCUAAAGAGAGGAAGGCAAGGAUGAAGGGGGGUGAUGCGAAUACCAUGUAUGACUAUUUUAAGAUGAUGAAAGAAGAUAAUCCAAAUUUUUUCUUCCUAUAUAGGCAAGCGCCAGAUGGUCGGUUGCAGGAUGUGCUUUGGGUUGAUGCUCGUAGUAGAGCGGCGUAUGAGGAGUUUGGUGAUGUUGUAUGUUUUGAUACUACGUACUUGACGAAUCAGUACAAAAUGCCAUUCAUGAACUUGUAGGCGUAAAUCAUCAUGGUUAAAGCAUAUUACUUGGAUGUGCCUUGGUAUCUCAUGAGAACUCUGAUACUUUUGAGUGGAUUUUUAGCCAUUGGUUGGAUUGUAUGGGAGGUAAAGCCCUGAUAGGGAUCUUAACUGAUCAAGAUGCCGCGAUGAGGAAGGCGUUGAAAGAAACCAUGAGUGGAACAUGUCAUAGGUGGUGCAUAUGGCACAUUCUUCAGAAGUUUUGUAAGAAGAUGGGAAAAGAAGAAGAGUACCCUGAAUUAAAGGUAGACUUGGAGCGUGCAAUAUACGAUAGUCUUGACUGUGAUGAGUUUGAACUAAACUAGGCAACAGUUAUGGAGCAGUACCAAGUAAAGGAUGACUGACUUGAAGGUAACAUUACACACCCACUGUUUCUAAUUAUAUAAUGUUUAUAAUUGUAUGUGGUAUAUUGUUAGUUAAAUAUUAGAUUUUUCAUAGUGAUUAGCAGAUAUUUGAAGUUCACUUCUUAAUUUAAGACUAGUAGGUCACAAGUACUAAAAUUACAUUUGUUGAAUUUCUUUUUAAUUGUGCAUUUUAGGGUUGUAUAAGGAAAGGCACAUGUGGGUUCCCGCCUAUUUGAAACAUUUUUUUUGGGCUGGCAUGAAGACGACACAAUGAGUUGAAAGUAUAAAAAGUUUCUUUGAUUUGUAUGUUAACAAACAUACUCAUUUGUAUGAAUUUGUUGAGUCAUACUGUGAGGCAAUGGAGGGGAGGGCUAAUUCAGAAAAUAUGGCAGAUACUAGUAGUGCAAGAAAUCUAAGGCAAAUUGUGACUGCAUUUUUUGCCGAGGAAGUGUAUCAGAAAUGCUAUACGGAUGCUAAGUUUCAUGAGGUCCAAAGAGAGUGUACUAGGGUAUUGUAUGUCCGAUGUUUGAAGAAGGAAAUGUUGAAUGAGUGUGUUGAGGAGUAUGAGCUUGAGGAUAGGGUGUGGAUAAAGCCUAAAAAUUCAAGGAAGGAAAUUGUUACUAGACGUAAGAUCAAGUAUGCGGCACAUUACAAUUGUGUGACCAAGGAAGUAACUUGUCAGUGUUAGCACUUUGAAUGUCAUGGAAUAAUUUGUAGGCAUAUGAUAUUUUUGUUUGAUAUAAAUAACAUUGAGGUUCCUGAAAAAUAUAUUCUUCGACGUUGGCAGAAAGAUGUUGAAAGGAAGCAUACCAAGGUGAAGGUAAUGUCCACGACCCAUUGAAGACGGAAGCUGUGUUUAGGUACGAUAAGUUAAUGGUGUUGAUUAACCCCAUAUGCCAUAAGGCAUCUACUUACAAAGAGACAGUGGAUAUUGCAGUUGAGAUAUUCCAAUUGUUGGAUAUUAGGUUGGAUGAGAAGAUUGGGAUGUUAGACAUGCAAAGGGAGAAUGUGGGUAAUGUCAACGUUAAUGUCAAUGUGGGAACCCCCUCUUCUGUAUGUCUUGCAAAGGGUAGUACUGAAGUUACCCCCUCAUCUGUUGGGCAAUUGCAACCGGUAGUUCGUCGUACAAUGGUGUUUGAUUCCCCAUAAACAAAUGAACAUGAAGGUAGUUGUGUGGCUGGUUUGUCCGGAACUUUAGGAAUGAAUGAUGAUGUUGAUGUUGAUCCUUUUAGCGGUAGGUUUGCGGGGGAGGGUGUGGGAACUCCAAAUUCUUGAAGGGUAGAUGUUGAUCUUACCAGUGCUGAAGGCUUUGAUGGGGAUGCUCUCCCAUUGAGAUAUCCUUUUAAGCCUCCCCCUCCAGCCCAUAGGACUACCAGUUACAGGUACAGGUCAUGUAGCGAGCACCAUAAGAGGCCUCAGACAAAGGAACAAACCAUGAACAAACCAAGCAACAGCUGCCCUCCAACAGCUGCAGGUCCAUAUGUUGAUUCUGCAUAUCCAAAGCAGCCACCUCCAAAGAAACCAGCAUCUCCAGAGAAGGCAGCAGCCCCCAAGAAGUCGGGCGGUCCAUGGAAGUCUGCAGCUCCACGCAAGAGCAAGAAGGCAGCGGCAGUUGAGCAACAGAUUGUGCAACCGCACCCGCAGCAGCAGGAGUAUACACAAAGCGUUGGUGGAAUACGUAUGAUGGUGGUUCCUUUACGUACUAUACCCGACCGAUGUAUGUUGGUCAUCAACAACAACAAUAUGUUGGUCAUCAGGCUGAACCACAAUAUAUUGGGCAAGGAUAUGUUGGGGUUGGGUUUGUUGGGCACGGAUUUGCUAGGGACGGAUAUGUAGUUGAUGGUCACACGGACCGUCAUGGGGGCCAGUAUGUAUAUGUUCCUCCUCCUUCUCGGGUCGUCAGAUGUCAACUUUGAACCCGUGCACUAAACUUACCUAUCAAGGUUCUUCCUCUUGUUAUCAACGAUCUCCUUCUUGGCAUCAGCGGUCUCCCUCUUUUCAUCAACAGUCUCCCUCACAAAUGAUUCGUCCCCUAGCCAACACCGGUUCAGCGGCUACUACGCUACUCCCUAGGUUUAUGCAGUCGGCGAUGCAAAAUGUUGUGGUGAGCGACAAUGGUGGUUCGGGGUCUUCUACAAAUGUACUUCCUAGGUUCAUGCAAAACAACUUCCAAGGCCAAGGCCAAGGCAAAACUUGAGUAAUAAGUGUUUAUUUGAAUGAAAAUUUGAAUUAGAGUUGA